UGAGGCAGGAGAAUGGCGUGAACCCGGGAGGUGAAGCUUGCAGUGAGCCGAGAUCACGCCACUACACUCCAGCCUGGGUGACAGAGCGAGACUGCAUCUCAAAAAAAAAAAAAAUUUUAUAUAUACAUACAUACACACACACACACACACACACACACGUAUUUGAACUACACAGGGAACAAAUAUAGUUUCAUGUUAUGAAUUUAAAUAAAGCCAUCAGGCCGGCGUGGUGACUCACGCCUGUAAUCCCAGCACUUUGGGAGGCCGAGGCAGGAGAAUCGCUUGAACCCGGGAGGCACAGGUUGCAGUCAGCCGAGAUCACGCCACUGCACUCUAGUCUGGGCGACAGAGCAAGACUUUUGUCUCAAAAAAAAAUGAAAAAUAAAAAUAAUAAUGACAAAUUUCGCUACUGUUAACAGUAAAAUUAACCUAGUGGCUCUUAUCCUUUGACUCCUUCUCUACUUCCCAGCGAGAUUCUCAGUGACCCCUCAUCAUCACCUCUCCUAAGU
rnacentral:antisense_RNA from 1 species